AUUGAACGCUGGCGGCAUGCCUUACACAUGCAAGUCGAACGGCAGCACGGGGGCAACCCUGGUGGCGAGUGGCGAACGGGUGAGUAAUACAUCGGAACGUGCCCCGUAGCGGGGGACGAACCAGUCGAAGACUGGCUAAUACCGCAUACGCUCCACGGAGGAAAGCAGGGGAUCGCAAGACCUUGCACUAUGGGAGCGGCCGAUGCCCGAUUAGCUAGUUGGGAGGUAAAGGCUCACCAAGGCAACGAUCGGUAGCUGGUCUGAGAGGACGACCAGCCACACUGGGACUGAGACACGGCCCAGACUCCUAC
rnacentral:rRNA from 1 species